CUCCCAUCUCAAAAAAACGAACAUUUCUACUUUUGGCUAUAAUUAUGCGGCUUUUUUAUAUAUUUAAAUAUAGAAAAAACUUUAAUUCCCGGAAUACGCACCAAAUCAAAACGUUUCUGAAAUACGCAGGGCCAUCUCAUGGGCGUCGUCCGCAAAAUGGAGAAGCACGUCAACUCACUCCCGGCGGCCGCGAAUUGGAGCUGACACGGGCAGCUUUCCCAUUUCGUGCAUGGCAGGAACAAAAUGACCCAUUCCACCCCCGGCGCACACGACUUGGACCAUAUCAAGACCUGCGCCAGCGAAAUGGGGCAAUUAGCUUGCGGUGGACACGAAAUGGAGACUUGCUUUUGGGAUUCAACACUUUCUUGCCAAGGGGUUAUGAAAUCACACUUCCACUGGAGGAUGAACAACCUGCCCCAAAGAAGCCUAUUGAAUUUGAAGAAGUGAUUAAUUUUGUGAACAAAAUUAAGGUGAUGAUCGUGUUUACAAGUCAUUUCUGGACAUAUUAAAUAUGUAUAGAAAGGAAAGCAAGUCUAUAGCAGAGGUCUACCAGGAGGUUGCUGCACUUUUCCAAGAGCAUCCGGAUCUUCUUGAUGAGUUUACUCAUUUUCUCUCGGACACUUCCUCAGCAGCCUCUGCUCAUUAUAUUUCUGCUAGAAAUUCUAUGCUACGUGAUAGGAGCUCUGCAAUGCCAACUGUAUGGCAAAUGCAUGUUGAGAAGGUUUAUCUCGGUAUUUUUCUGUCUCCGAGAUGCUAAGUCAAGGUGCCUGGAGGUUUCAACACCUUUUGGUGGCUGCAUUAUUGCCCCUUUAAUGAGAUGCAUGCUUCUAGUGUAUUAUUGUUCAAGCAACAUACCUAUAGCACUUAAUGAUAGCUGUAGAAAAUUAAAAAAAUCCAUCCCUCUAACUUGCUAUGAUGUUACAUUGGCUAAAAUAUUAUGUUGUUGAGAAGUAACUAUUUCUGGGUCAUAAGGAAUUUUACAGUUAGUAGUUUAGGAUUUCUUAAAUUGAACAUUGCAGUUGUUUACUUUUACUUAGGAUGUUAUUCUCACCUAGUUAUAAGUCUUUGGCUUAUCUUUCUCCAAAGCAUUAAAACCCUGAAGCCUUAAAGUAGCAUUUUGUCUUUUACUAUUUUUCUCCAAAAGCAUUAAAACCCUGAAGCCUUAAAGUAGCCAUACACAAAGCAAUCCAAUCUUAACAAUGGAAAAAUUUUUAGAGAGAAAGAAGGUUGUGAGGUUCAGAACAAUUUUGGAGAGUUGGAGAAGAAUGGAGAUAAUGCCUUCUUGCGUGGAUGAAGUAGCGUUUAUAUAGCCACAUUGAGAUCCCAAUUCAUGGGCAAUACACAUGAGGUGCAUCAUCUCGCGUGUACUGACAGUGAAAUGGAUCCAAUUCGUGCCUGCCUCCCCAGAGUUCCCCAAUUCGUGGAUGUCAGCCACUAAUUGGCUUCCCCUCCAUUUCGUUUGUGCCGCACCAGACAUGGAAGUUGCCCGUGUCAGC